rnacentral:rRNA from 1 species
AAUGGACGCUGGCGGCGUGGAUUAGGCAUGCAAGUCGUACGGUGAAGCGGGUUUCGGCCCGUGAAUCAGUGGCGACCUGGUGAGUACAAGUUGGGUAACAUGCCCUGAAGUGGGGGACAACUUCCCGAAAGGGGAGCUAAUACCGCAUGUGGUUGCGAGGACUUUGGUCUUUUCAACUAAAGCAGUGAUGCGCUUCAGGAUUGGCCCGACUCCCAUUAGCUUGUUGGUAGGGUAAUGGCCUACCAAGGCUACGAUGGGUAGGUGGCCUGAGAGGGUGGUCACCCACAUGAGGACUGAGAUACGGCCUCA